AUUGAACGCUAGCGGAAUGCUUUACACAUGCAAGUCGAACGGCAGCACGGGGGCAACCCUGGUGGCGAGUGGCGAACGGGUGAGUAAUACAUCGGAACGUGCCCAGUCGUGGGGGAUAACGUAGCGAAAGUUACGCUAAUACCGCAUACGAUCUACGGAUGAAAGCGGGGGACCGUAAGGCCUCGCGCGAUUGGAGCGGCCGAUGUCAGAUUAGGUAGUUGGGGAGGUAAGGGCUCACCAAGCCGACGAUCUGUAGCUGGUCUGAGAGGACGACCACCCAAACUGGGACUGAGGAACGGCCCAGACUCCUACGGGAGGCAGCAGGGGGGAAUUUUGGACAAUGGGCGCAAGCCUGAUCCAGCCAUUCCGCGUGCAGGACGAAGGCCUUCGGGUUGUAAACUGCUUUUGUACGGAACGAAAAGGCUCUGGUUAAUACCUGGGGCUCAUGACGGUACCGUAAGAAUAAGCACCGGCUAACUACGUGCCAGCCGCCGCGGUAA
rnacentral:rRNA from 1 species